rnacentral:tRNA from 2 species
GGAGAGAUGUCCGAGAGGUCGAAGGUGAAAGUCUCGAAAACUUUUGUACGCUAACCGCGUACCGAGGGUUCGAAUCCCUCUCUCUCCG